AGUGAACGCUGGCGGUAGGCCUAACACAUGCAAGUCGAACGGCAGCACAGGAGAGCUUGCUCUCUGGGUGGCGAGUGGCGGACGGGUGAGGAAUACAUCGGAAUCUACUCUGUCGUGGGGGAUAACGUAGGGAAACUUACGCUAAUACCGCAUACGACCUACGGGUGAAAGCAGGGGAUCUUCGGACCUUGCUCGAUUGAAUGAGGUGAUGUCGGAUUAGCUAGUUGGCGGGGUAAAGGCCCACCAAGGCGACGAUCCGUAGCUGGUCUGAGAGGAUGAUCAGCCACACUGGAACUGAGACACGGUCCAGACUCCUACGGGAGGCAGCAGUGGGGAAUAUUGGACAAUGGGCGCAAGCCUGAUCCAGCCAUACCGCGUGGGUGAAGAAGGCCUUCGGGUUGUAAAGCCCUUUUGUUGGGAAAGAAAUCCAGCUGGCUAAUACCCGGUUGGGACGACGGUACCCAAAGAAUAAGCACCGGCUAACUUCGUGCCAGCCGCCGCCGUAA
rnacentral:rRNA from 1 species